GACGAACGCUGGCGGCGUGCCUAAUACAUGCAAGUAGGACGCAGUUGCGAACGGGUGAGUAACGCGUAGGUAACUGCCUAUUAGAGGGGGAUAACUAUUGGAAACGAUAGCUAAUACCGCAUACUAGUAGAUGGACCUGAGUUGUAUUAGCUAGUAGGUAGGGUAAUGGCCUAACUAGGCAACGAUACAUAGACGACAGUAGAGGGUGAUCUGCACAACUGGGACGGAGACACGGACCAGACUCCUACGGGAGGCAGCAGUAGGGAAUCUUCGGCAAUGGGGCGAACCCUGACCGAGCAACGCCGCGGGAGUGAAGAAGGUUUUCGGAUCGUAAAGCUCUGUUGUUAAGGAAGCGGUACUUAACCAGAAAGGGACGGCUAACUACGUGCCAGCAGCCGCGGUAAUAC
rnacentral:rRNA from 1 species